UCUAUCCUACGGGACGCAGCAGUGGGGAAUAUUGCACAAUGGGGGAAACCCUGAUGCAGCAACGCCGCGUGAGUGAAGAAGUAUUUCGGUAUGUAAAGCUCUAUCAGCAGGGAGGAGAAUGACGGUACCUGACUAAGAAGCCCCGGCUAACUACGUGCCAGCAGCCGCGGUAAUACGUAGGGGGCGAGCGUUAUCCGGAUUUACUGGGUGUAAAGGGAGCGUAGACGGUUCUGCAAGUCUGAAGUGAAAGCCCUUGGCUUAACCGCGGAACGGCUUUGGAAACUGUGGAACUGGAGUGCUGGAGG
rnacentral:rRNA from 1 species